CCUACGGGAGACAGCAGUGAGGAAUAUUGGUCAAUGGACGAGAGUCUGAACCAGCCAAGUAGCGUGAAGGAUGACUGCCCUAUGGGUUGUAAACUUCUUUUAUAUGGGAAUAAAAUGUUCCACGUGUGGGAUUUUGUAUGUACCAUAUGAAUAAGGAUCGGCUAACUCCGUGCCAGCAGCCGCGGUAAUACGGAGGAUCCGAGCGUUAUCCGGAUUUAUUGGGUUUAAAGGGAGCGUAGGUGGAUUGUUAAGUCAGUUGUGAAAGUUUGCGGCUCAACCGUAAAAUUGCAGUUGAAACUGGUAGUCUUGAGUACAGUAGAGGUGGGCGGAAUUCGUGGUGUAGCGGUGAAAUGCUUAGAUAUCACGAAGAACUCCGAUUGCGAAGGCAGCUCACUGGACUGCAACUGACACUGAGGCUCGAAAGUGUGGGUAUCAAACAGGAUUAGAUACCCGAGUAGUC
rnacentral:rRNA from 1 species